rnacentral:rRNA from 1 species
UACAGAGGUCCCGAGCGUUGUUCGGAUUCAUUGGGCGUAAAGGGUGUGUAGGUGGCGCCGUAAGUCGGGUGUGAAAUUUCGGAGCUUAACUCCGAAACUGCAUUCGAUACUGCCGUGCUUGAGGACUGGAGAGGAGACUGGAAUUACGGUGUAGCGGUGAAAUGCGUAGAGAUCGUAAGGAAGACCAGUGGCGAAGGCGAGUCUCUGGACAGUUACUGACGCUGAGGCACGAAGGCCAGGGGAGCAAACGGG